rnacentral:lncRNA from 1 species
GCAUCUUAGACAUCGACCUACCACAUAUGUCAAAGCAGGGAGUGAGCAGGAGGAACAAAUGCCUUGACCUCUCUCUCUUCCCAUCCUCUGAUCUCCCACCACUGUCCUCCAGUGGCCAAACUCAAGUAGAUGCCAGAAGGCAAGGGAGGCCUCAAAGGUCAUCCUUCCAGGGCCCAGCAGUCUCAGCACCAGUACUCGCAGAGCCUCUGAGGAUUCUGUGGUUAUACCUGCUCCUCAUCCAGAAGCAUGAGAUUCUUGGCUCUUCUCUUCCUGGCGGCUCUGGCUGGGGCCCUGGUCUGUGCCCAAGAUGCCUCUGUGACCCGUGCUGAACCUGGUGCGGGGAUCACAGCUCCAGUGGAAUCUGCUUCACCCCAAGAGACGGCAGCAGGAGACGGGUUCGCCCCAGGGGAACAACUAAAACCCCUGAAAGACUUAGCAGAGAGAAGACUCUUGAAAGCAAGGCGUACCCUUGAAGAAGCAAGAAAAGGAGCGCGGGAAGGAAUUGAAGGUGGAAAAAAACUCUUCGAAGGUGGAACUGAAUUUGUAAGAAAACUGAGGGACAAAUUCAUUCCAAUUAAGCCCUGAGAACCUGAAAAGAAUGGGGUCUCUGGACUUAUCGCCUUAAACUUGCUUGCAGCUCAGAACAAUUAAACUGAAAGCAUCCAA